rnacentral:antisense_RNA from 1 species
CUAUGACGGGCCGUGUGGGGAGACCUUCGGGUCUGCCGGUGCUCUGCCGGUCUGCUAACCCUGCACGGUUCCGUCACCA